rnacentral:lncRNA from 1 species
UUAAUAGUUAUACAUCCUUAUAAUAUAUAUAUAUAGAAUUGAGCUAGAAUACUCUCGAUAGUAAACGGGGCGUUUUACUAUCGAGUUGUUUUCGAUGAUAGAGCUUCCAAAUUAACGAUCAGCUCUGUUAAAUAUGAUCUAAACCAUUUAAACUAUCUAGAAAUCAAAUUUCACACACUUUCGAUAUUGUUCUUUUAUCCAUCUAGUGAACAAAAAAUGAAUGGCUGAAAAUGAAUAUUCUUUAAAAAAUGAUGAUAGGAGUCUUGUAAUCAAGAUCAAAAGUAUAGAUCUUGUUUUAAAUAGUUUGUAGAAUUUUCUAACAAAAAUUCAAUUGAUUUGGAUAUCUUUACACCGUUAAACGAGAAAACGUCUCUUAUCCACCAUUAAAAUUAUAAAUUUUGAAACCCUUUGAUCAUUAAGCAAAUGAUGUCGGAAAGAUUUUGAAAUUUAAUUUCUAAACACUUCAAGUGGUAUAGAGC